AAAAAAAAAAAAAAAAAGAGGAAGGUUUAGCCUUAGUCGCUGCUUUGAUUUAGAGAGAUGGAUUGACUCUGGCUUUCUUGAUUGCAGAAAAUUAGUUUAUUUCUAAAAAAAAAUCUAUAAUUGGCUACACAGAAUUAAUUUCCUUUUAAAAAAAAUUUUAGUUUUAAAAAUAACCCAAAUAACAUUGAAUUAAAUUUAAUUAGUAUAUAAAGAAUUGCUUUCUUAUGCAGCUGUUCAUCUGAUUCAUUGGCCAUGUCCUACUCACGUUGGUGUUGUGUCAACAUUAAUAAGAAUGUCAGAUGGCAGUUGCUGAUAUCAAUAAAUGUGAAUUUUCUGCAAAGCAAAGCUUUAACUAUAUAUGACAGUAAAAUUAAUUUACUUACAAAAAUCAAAUAAAUAAAAAAAAAUUAAAUUGUGCAAUUUAAUCACUUGAUUUUAAAAGAGUGUUCAAAAGAAAUUGAUGCUAAUUAAUAUUUUUCAAUUACAUAUUUGUUUGAUUUCUAUUUGUUAGAGUAAUAUAAUUCUUGAACAUAUUUAUAUGUAUCCAAGACAUUGAGACAUGAAUUCAGCCAAUCAUAACAACUUUUAGUUGAACAUAUUUAUAUAAGAAUUCUGCUAAAAUUCUAUUUAAAUGAGAAUUGAACAAAAGACAUUACAAGAUUCUGUGAGUCACUGAGCUACUACUCCAUAGAUUAAACUUCCAAUCUCCAUUAAAACUGAUUUUUGUGACGGUCAAACAGUUUGGAAUGGCUGGUGCCUUAGAGACUGUAUGUGGCCAAGCAUAUGGAGCAGAGCAGUACCAGAAGCUUGGAACUUAUACUUACAGUGCAAUCAUUUCUUUGAUUCUGGUCUGCAUUCCUAUAUCCCUUCUGUGGAUGUUCACAGACAAGCUACUAAUCUUAAUAGGCCAAGACCCUUCAAUCUCACAUGCGGCUCGCAAAUACUCAGUUUGGCUCAUUCCUAACCUGGUUUCAUAUGCUGUGCUUCAAGCAUUGAUUCGUUACUUCCAAACUCAGAGCUUGAUCAUUCCAAUGCUCUUUAGCUCAUUUGUUACUCUGUGUUUCCAUAUACCAUUUUGUUGGGUUCUUGUGUUCAAAACAGAAUUGGGAUGUGUAGGAGCUGCAUUAGCCAUUAGUGUAUCAUAUUGGUUGAAUGUUUUCUUGCUUGGAUUGUACAUGAAGUAUUCUUCAAUGUGCAAGGAUACUCGAUCUGUAAUCUCCAUGGAUAUGUUCUUGAGCAUGAAGGAGUUCUUUCGUUUUGCUCUUCCUUCUGCAUUAAUGACUUGGUAAUGCUUUAUUUAUAUUUCUUGUUCACCCUCCAUUAUUAUUAAUACUUAUUUAGUUCCCUAAUCUUUUCUUCGGCUUGCCAAUUUCUUUAGCCUAGAAUGGUGGUCCUAUGAGGUAAUCAUUUUACUAUCUGGCCUUUUACCAAAUCCAAAAGUAGAAAUUUCAGUCCUUUCUAUAUGGUAUGCUUCAUUAUUCUUCCAUCUGCAUCACUCAAAUAUGCAGAAAGUUUUGAAAAGUAUACUUUUAAUUUCUGCAAAUUAUUUCUUGCUUGCAGCUUUACAAUCACUUAUCUGCACUACUUCAUUCCAUAUGGAUUUGGUGCCACUGCAAGGUCUGUACUAAUUGAAGGAUCUUACAAUUCUUUGCUGCUAAAUUCAUGUAAUUCAUUUUUUUUUUCAUUGAUAACUAUCUUUUUAGCACUCGGGUUUCAAACGAAUUGGGAGCUGGAAAUCCACAAGCAGCUAAAGUAGCAAUUUCAGCCAUAAUGAUUCUUGCACUUGCAGAGGUGGUUAUUAUAAGCAUGGCUCUCUUCUUUUGUCGCCACAUUUUAGGAUAUGCAAUUAGCAAUGAGAAGGAAAUUGUGGAUCAUGUUGCAGAUAUGGCUCCUUUCCUUUGUUUGUCAAUUAUCAUGGAUGGCUCUCAAGCAGUGCUUUCAGGUAAGUAUCUUACCUGCAUAUGAUUUGUUGAUGCAUCUUCAAGAUAUGAUUAUGCUGUCAUUUUCUGGUCUGCAUCAGGGGUUGCUAGGGGAAGUGGGUGGCAGCAUAUAGGAGCCUAUGUGAAUCUUGGUGCCUAUUAUCUGGUUGGGACUCCAGUAGGUGCUGUAUUGGCUUUUGUUGCACACUUGAAAGGGAAGGGCCUUUUGAUUGGAUUGGCCACUGGAUCAUUUGUACAAGCAACUCUACUUGCUCUCAUGACCAUUUUCACAAACUGGGAAAAACAGGCAAUUAAAGCAAGAGAGAGGAUAUUUGAAGGGGAUUCGUAGAGUGGAUAUAUAUUCCGGAAAAUAGG
rnacentral:misc_RNA from 1 species